GCGCCUGUAGCUCAACUGGAUAGAGUGUCGGCCUCCGAAGCCGAAGGUUGUGGGUUCGACCCCCGCCAGGCGCACCA
rnacentral:tRNA from 1 species